GAUGAAGAACGCAGCGAAAUGCGAUACGUAAUGUGAAUUGCAGAUUUCAGUGAAUCAUCGAAUCUUUGAACGCACAUUGCGCCCGCUAGUAUUCUGGCGGGCAUGCCUGUUCGAGCGUCAUUUCAACCAUCAAGCCCUAGGCUUGCGUUGGAGCCCCGCGGCUGCCGCAGGCUCCCAAAUCCAGUGGCGGGCUCGUCGUCGUACCGAGUGCAGUAAACAUCCUCGCUCAGGGAACGUGACGGGUUCUUGCCGUGAAACCCCCCACAUAUCAAGGUUGACCUCGGAUCAGGUAGGAAUACCCGCUGAACUUAAGCAUAUCAAUAAGCGGAGGA
rnacentral:misc_RNA from 1 species